AUUUGUCUGGGCUGGGGACGCCUGGCCAUGCAGAUGGGCUUGGUCGGCUCCCUCCUCAGAGCCUGGUCCAUGCGGCUGUCCCUCCCUUGCUCUUGCUGCAUUUGUGAAAGUGUCUGGUUUAAGUGCUAUUUUGUGCAUGGUGUGUGUUACAAUGUGACUUAGCCCAGGAAGACGAGCCCCAGUGUCCCAUAAGCCCCUGCGUCCACUGCCCCCUGUUCCUAAUCAGAUGUUCGCUGAGUGAAUAAUGAGGACAGAGGCUUGGGGUGCUGUGUAUGCCACAGCCUGUCCCAGGAGCUCCACCCAUGUCCGCAGCUCCCCCUUCUCCACAGUCAUGUCAGGACCCAGGCCCGUGGUGCUGAGCGGGCCCUCGGGGGCAGGGAAGAGCACACUGCUGAAGAAGCUGCUCCAGGAGCACGGCAGCAUCUUUGGCUUCAGUGUGUCCCAUACCACGAGGGACCCACGGCCUGGAGAGGAGAACGGCAAAGAUUACUACUUUGUGACCAGGGAGGUGAUGCAGCGGGACAUUAUAGCCGGUGACUUCAUUGAGCAUGCUGAGUUCUCAGGGAACCUGUACGGAACAAGCAAGGCGGCUGUGCAGGCAGUGCAGGCCAUGAACCGCAUCUGCGUGCUGGAUGUGGACCUGCAGGGUGUGCGCAACAUCAAGAAGACCGACUUGCGGCCCAUCUACAUCUCCGUGCAGCCGCCCUCGCUGGAUGUCCUGGAGCAGCGGCUGCGGCAACGCAACACCGAGACAGAGGAGAGCCUGGCGAAGCGGCUGGCUGCCGCCCGGGCCGACAUGGACAGCACCUCCCCCCCCAGGCAAAGAGCCUGGCCUGUUUGACCUGCUUAUCAUCAAUGACAACCUGGACAAGGCGUAUGCAGCGCUGAAGGAGGCGCUCUCUGAGGAAAUCAGGAAAGCUCAAGGGACCAGCCACGCCUGAGGAGUCCUGCUUUCCAUUCCACGGGUGCCUCCCGGUCUCGAAGCAUGGGGGGGUCCAGUCAGGGCCCCCAGGAGUCAUGCAGGACCAGCGGCAGGUGUCCACUGACUGGGUUUGUGGAGCCUCUCCCUUGCUGGCUGCACAGUGGUUCUGCGUCUUCAACUGGCGUCUGGGGCGAGAGGGGUGCUGCCCAUGUCCCAUGUCCCGUGCAGUUGGAGGGCCCUGGGGCACCCCCUAUCUGCCCUCCCUGGGCUGUCCCCUGUCCCUAUUCCUGUCCCUCCCGCUGGAGCUGGGGCUGACAUAAUAAAGUAACUGUUAGGCUGGA